UGUGUAUUAAGGCAGUUUUGCCUGUAUUUGUGGGAGGGGCUUAAAUUAAUUCACUCCCCUAUAUAAGGGACACCCCUUACCUGACUCAUAUGGCUUGAGGUCAGCAUCAGAAUGAUUUCCACUUCCGGGUCAUCCAGACGCCAUUUUACCUGAUUACUCCAUGAGGUUUUCUAAGCUGAGCUGUGUCAGGAAUCCAGCCACAGGCUUUUCCGGCCUACCACCUUCUUUCUUCAAUCCAUCGCCGUGGAUGGUGUCCAAG